GUCUACGGCCAUACCACCCUGAACGCGCCCGAUCUCGUCUGAUCUCGGAAGCUAAGCAGGGUCAGGCCUGGUUAGUACUUGGAUGGAAGAAGCUUACAUUCAUAAUUCAUUCAUUGUCCACUGUAUAUC
ensembl:rRNA 5S_rRNA 5S ribosomal RNA